GCUUGACUGUAUCUUGGAAUUGGGCUCGGGCUUUUCUUGCGCAGACUAGGUGGGAGGCUAUGAAGAUUUUCUUCUGGGAAAGUUGGAGCCAACAGUGAGAGACCACUCUGGAAAGGCUAGAAUCCUAAUGGUGAUCCUUGAAUCAGGACACUUGACAGUUUCAGGUGGGCAGUUUUUCUGGGGCGGAAGCCUCAUAAAAGGUAACUGAGGCGCGCAAAGGUCCCCUCAGUCUGGACGGAAAUCAGACAUUGAGUGUAAAGGCAAAAGGGGGCUUGACUGCAAGACCCACAAGUCGAGCAGGGGCGAAAGCUGGCCUUAGUGAUCCGACGGUGCCGUGUGGAAGGGCCGUCGCUCAACGAAUAAAAGUUA
rnacentral:rRNA from 1 species